rnacentral:tRNA from 1 species
GAAUUUGAAGCGAUAAAUUGCAAUUAGUUUCGACCUAAUUUUAGAUGUAUUACAUCCAUAUUCU